UACGUAGGUGGCAAGCGUUGUCCGGAAUUACUGGGUGUAAAGGGAGCGUAGGUGGCAGGGCAAGUCAGAUGUGAAAACCCGGGGCUCAACCCCGGGAGUGCAUUUGAAACUGUCCAGCUGGAGUGCCGGAGAGGCAAGUGGAAUUCCUAGUGUAGCGGUGAAAUGCGUAGAUAUUAGGAGGAACACCAGUGGCGGAGGCGGCUUACUAAACUAUAACUGACACUGAAGCACGAAAGCGUGGGGAUCAA
rnacentral:rRNA from 1 species